UUACGGCCAUAUCACGUUGAAAUACCGGUUCUCAUACGAUCAGCGAAAUUAAACAAAGUUGAGCAUAGUUACUACCUAGAUGGGUGACCACUUAGAAAUAC